UUAUGCUGGAUCGUCAAGCCACAGUUACGGAUCAUCUACUGGGAAUCAGCGCAUCGAGUCAUGGUGGUCUUAUUUCAGAAGAGGAAGGUCUCAGUUUUGGAUGGACUUGUUUGGAGACCUAAGAGACUCUGGAAACUUAAAUGGAAGCCACGAACACCAAUGCUUGCUGAGAUUCUGCUUCAGAGGGGUUCUACAGAAAGACCUGGAUGAAUGCAAAGACCUCUGGAACAAACACAGGAUCCGGCCAAGCAGACUUGCAUCGUGUCCAGGGGGGAUUCCAAACGAACUCUAUCUCUUGCCUCACAGAUAUGGUUCAAGAGACUGUGGAUUUGCUGUUGAGGAGAGGGAACUGGAUGUGUUUCCCGAGGAGGGGCUACCGGUUGGAUUGUGUGGUGAUCCAAACAUUGAGGAAUAUUUACAACAGGCUGUACAACAAAACACACUGCAGCAGCCACAAGACUGGGAAUCGGCCACAGAACUGUAUUUGGCCCUGAAGGACAUAGCUGGGUUUUAGAUACCAACUGAACUUCAGUUUGUAAUGACAUUUGUCAGAGUUACUCUGACGAAGACACACACUGUGUUGAAACGUUAGUUU